rnacentral:lncRNA from 1 species
AUGAAUCAUUCAGUAUGGCAGGGAAAGAGCUUCCUUUAUGCCUUUGAGCUGCCUCUGAGCCCUGGGCAGCAAACUAACAUGAUGGGCUCGUUCUGGGUAUGCCUCUGCUGGCCUACCCUACUUUGCUGGUUCUUUGCCCCAAGACUGAGCACUGCUGUUGGAUCAAACAUAACACUAAGACUUCCUGAGAGAUCUUCCUGCAAACCAGGUUUUUACUGCCCAGAGGGAGGUAGGGGUCCAGUUCCAUGUCCUAGAGGAACAUUUGGACCAAGUUUUUGGGCCCAGUCUGUAAAUGACUGCAUCAGCUGCCCACCACAUCACUAUGGACCUAGAGAAGGCUUGAGCAAUUGCCUGCCCUGUCGGGCCCUGGUCACAGCAGCCUCUGCUUGGACAGGACAGCUGUACAUGUCUGCGAGAGGGUCAAGUCUUCCAGGUUACAACUUAUUGCAUUGUUUACAUAAGUUCCCGUGUAUUUGUAGCUUAUUGUAGAGAAGCAAUCUGCAGACCUCUGCUCAGACAGGCGCUCAUGUUUCAGCCUAGUGGGAGUCUGGUUACCACUCUCACUGACUGCUGAAUGCUCUUUUCAUCAGUUACUAGUCACUAGGGAAAACUGUCAGGAUUUAUUGUCUCUAAUUGCUGGUGUCUUCCCAAUCCUGAAUGUAGGCCAGUGAUGGACAGUGUCCAUGUACUUUGGGAUACACACAGAAAGGAGAAGCCUGUGUGUUGAAGGUCUAUGAGAUCUGCAAGGAUGGAAGAGCACGAAACCAGCAUGGAGAAUGUCUGGACCACAAGCAAUGGAAGCAGCAUUGCUCCCAGCAGGUGAGCAUCCAAAGGAAAGAUGAAACCGGGGUAAUAUUGAGAAACCUGCAUUACAGUUGUGCUGUUUGCACAGUGAUGAUGACACACUCACCAUUCAAAGUUUUAUGAAUGGUGCGUGAUAACUUGCUUAUUUUGCUCAUGAAAGACAUCCAGUUUUCAAUGUUUUCUUAGUGAAUGUUUGACCAGCAAGUCAGUGACCUGUAAAGUAAAAUACCUUCCUCCAUGAACUUUUAGUGCACACAUAAAGGGGCCACAUGUGUACCGCUGAACCCUAUGACCCAGUGACGCAGUUUUCUCAUUGAGCAAUAUGUCAAAUUUUGUACCCCCCAGGUGUGUCUAUCUCCUGAGCUGUAUGAGGGCUAUGAUGGUUCCCUGGGCCUGUGUGCUUGCAGAGGGCUGUCCAGGCCUGAGCCAGACAGGGUUGAGUGUGUUGGCUGGUGCCGGAGCAACCUGAGUCCAAUUCUGCAGCUGGUUUGCACUGGAAGCCUUUACCUGCUCUACACUGAGUCUAAUCAACAGGUCAGGCCUAGUCCAUUCACAUCAUGAUAUGGUGUUAGGAAGGAGACCCAAAACAUGAUGAGCACCUCAUAGUAGUCUAGUUUCAGGGUAACACAUUACAAGCAAUGUGGCAAGUGAAUUUUCCCCCAGAUAGUAAAAAUGCAUGUAAUUUGUUUCAUAACAUCUUGAUAAAACUACAUGCCUUACUUUUCCAUGUAUUACAAUAAUUUGGAAACCUCUUGCUUUGAUAGGAGUAAUAGGGGUAUAUUUUAAUGCAUGCAUUUAAGCAUUGUAGCCUGUCAAAGUUUUGUUUAAAAAAAAAAUACACCAAAACACGAAAAAAGUUUUUUUUUGUCAAAAAUAUAAUAUUCAUAUAUGCUUAACUGAUUAACGUGAUUGAAUUUCCAGUAUGGAUACAAUUUUGCUGCAUGAAAAUCUGGACAUUUAAAUCAUUUUAUGCAAAGACUGUUGCAGUGCUAUUUUAGUAUUAUUUAUAUACAGUCAUUAUAUUUAUUAAUAUUUUGAAUUAGCUUUUAUAUAUUCAGUUUCCAUUUGAAUUUUAGUCUAGUACAAUUUAGAGGCAAAAAAACAUUUAAUGUAGAGGCACUCUUCAUAAACUGUAAACCUUUCUACUCACUGCGGGUGUUUUAUUCUUUCAUUUGUACAUUCCUCCAGACGCGUGUGUGAGCGCAGCGCUACAACAGCUUGCUGAACAAAUAACUGAAAUGGAGCAAAAGUACCCAGACUCUCUUUUAAUAAUUCUUGGAUAUUCUAACAAUGCAAAUAUUUCCCGUAAGCUGCCAAGAUACAGACAGCCAUGUUACAUGUCCCACCAGAGACAGUAAUAUAUUGGAUCACUGGGAUGCAUUACUCUAAUCCACAGGCAGCUUUGGGGCUGUCUGAUCAGUUCAUCUCAUACCAACCUACAGGCAGAAACUGAAAUCAGUUUGAUGUACUAAUGAAGUAGAUCCAGAUUUACAAGCCUGCUCGACUGCACUGAUUAGAGUGUUUUCGAAGCUGCAGCAACCAAUCUGGAUGAGCUCACAGAUACUGUAACUUCAUAAAUCAGUUUCUGUGAGGAUACAGUGGCAUGCGAAAGUUUGGGAACCCCUUGCAGAAUCUGUGAAAAUCUGAAUAAUUUUAACAAAAUAAGAGAGAUCAUACAAAAUGCAUGUUAUAUUUUAUUUAGUACUGUCAUGAUAUUUUACAUUAAAGGUUUAUAUUUAUGUGUUUACAUUUAGUCCACAAGCCACAAAAGUAGCCAAAAUUAUUAAAAUAACCCCAUUCAAAAGUUUGGGAAACCCUUGGUUCUUAAUACUGUUUGUGGGUUAACUGGAUGAUCCACAACUGUUUUUCGUUUUGUGAUGGUUGUUCAUGAGUCCCUUGUUUGUUCUGAACAGUUAAACUGAGCUUUGUUCUUCAGAAAAAUCCUCAGGUGCUGCAGAUUCUUCAGUUUUCCAGCAUCUUUUACAUAUUUGAACCCUUUCCAGCAGUGACUGUAUGAUUUUGAGAUCCACCUUUUCACACUGAGGACAAUUGAGGGACUGCUCCAGAAGAAAACACGAUACAUUAAGAGCCGAGGGGUGAAACAGGACAUUCCUAUCAUUCAAUAAUGAUAAACCAUAAAAAUUCCUUACAUUUUGUGACGAGUGGGGCCGGGCCGAGAACCAUGGGAAGAAGGAGGCGGGAACCAGCGAACAUUUAAACAUAACUUUAAUAACAAAAUAAACACAAAACUGAAAAUAGUGUGACAGACCCUCACGGGCGACUGGCAUGCACAAACAGAACCAAAACAACAUAAAUAGUCCAGGCCUGUCCUCUCUCGUCCUUCACUGUCGUUACUCCUCCUUUUAUCCUUCCAGAGCUCCUCCUUGGGACAUGAUGCCCAAUGGGUGAAUUUGGCCAGGAUGGGGGGUUACAACCCUUACUGUUUUUCAAAGGACAUCCUGGGAUUUUUAAUGACCACAGAGAGUCAGGACCUCGGUUUAACGUCUCAUCCAAAAGACGGUGCUCUUUGUCAGUAUAGUGUCCCCGUCACUGCACUGGGUAGUUAUAUGACCCACACAGACCACAGGGUGAGCACCCCCUGCUGGCCUCACAAACACAUCUUCCAGCAGCAACCUAGUUUUCCCAGGAGGUCUCCCGUCUAGGUACUGACCAGGAUCAACCCUGCUUAGCUUCAGUGAGCCUUGGGCUGCAGGGUGAAUCCAUGGUUUACUGGGAAACUCAAACAGCUUCUUCAUGCCAAAAAUGAUGCUUACACAAGGGGGAUAAAAUCUUGUAUAACCAAGCCAGAAACAGACUAACAAAGGAGAUCAGAGUGACUAAAAUAAGCUACUCCAAAAAGCUGAAAAAACAGUUUUCAGCCAAUGACCCGGCGUCAGUGGUCUUGUCUGAGGAACAUCACCAAGUACAAGACACCACCCACACAUUCUGUGUAGAAUCAACAACUGGCCGACAAACUUAACGUGUUUUACUGCCGGUUUGAAAUGCCCAGUCUUACACCCCACACCCUCUCUGAUCUGCACUUCAAACAUACCACCCCCCCCCCCCUGAAACCCCCACUACCUCCCUCUCCUCUCCAACCAUUCAACCUGUGCUUAAGGUGUGUGUACUAGAUGUGAACCUGGUCUUCAGAAAACAGAAGACUUAGAAAGCUUCAGGUCCAGCUUCAGGCCCAGGGUUUAAAUCGAUUUGAUUUUGAUGCAAUAUUUACACUCAAGCUCGCAGGAGGCUAUGGUAAGGGCAUGAUAUUUCCCAACCAGGUGCCGAGUGGUGCCCAUCACAACACACACUGGCCCAGCUAACCAAUCACAACACAUUUCGUAUUUCAAAAGAUGGGCCUUCAUUUGAUACAGGAACUGUUCGAGCCGUUCAUGCCAGACUGGGGAGAGAGGUGUUGUAAUACUGUAAAAUAUGUGAAAAAUAAUGUGUUUUUUGAACAACCUAGUAUGAGAGCCUGUUCUAGUACACCCCCAAAACAAAAUCAAGACUUUGUAAUAGAGCAUAAUAGGACCCCUUUAAAGGUCUGCGCUGACCAACUGGCUCUCAUCUUAGCACAGAUCUUCAACAGAUGUCUGGAGCUGUGUGAACUUCCAUCCUGCUUCAAACACUCCACUAACAUUCCGGUCCCCAAAAAACCUAAAAUCAAUGGAUUUAAUGACUACAGACCUGUUGCUCUCACGUUUGUGGUCAUGAAAUUGUUUGAGAGACUGGUGUUGGCCUAUCUAAAAGACAUCACAUAAUUUUACCUACUGAUUCUUUGCAACCUCAUCUUUCGGAAAAUAAAACAAAUUUACUUUCUCAGCAUAGGACAGCAUAGGACACAGCAUUUUCUCGACAUGAAUAAUAAAAAGUGCUUGAGGGUGGGUCAAGUUGUUCACAGCCGGCCAAUGAAGAACAUAGGUGUGCAUUAUGCAAAUGUGUUACCCUGUGAAGUGUAUUGAUCACAGAAGUGGGAUUCAAAUUACUGGUGACUCAUUUGGCUGUUCAGAGUCUACUUCUUUUGUUUUGGCUACUUUCAGUCU